UGACCAACCUGAAGUAAGUUUUGUCCCGAGAGUACUUACGAGGGCGGCAGAGCAAUCUGCCGCCCUUUUGUUUUGAGGCA
rnacentral:misc_RNA from 1 species